GCUUGCUUUUGAUGGGCGUCGACCGGCGCACGGGUGAGUAACGCGUAUCCAACCUGCCCACCACUUGGGGAUAACCUUGCGAAAGUAAGACUAAUACCCAAUGACGUCUCUAGAAGACAUCUGAAGGAGAUUAAAGAUUUAUCGGUGAUGGAUGGGGAUGCGUCUGAUUAGCUUGUUGGCGGGGUAACGGCCCACCAAGGCUACGAUCAGUAGGGGUUCUGAGAGGAAGGUCCCCCACAUUGGAACUGAGACACGGUCCAAACUCCUACGGGAGGCAGCAGUGAGGAAUAUUGGUCAAUGGACGAGAGUCUGAACCAGCCAAGUAGCGUGCAGGAUGACGGCCCUAUGGGUUGUAAACUGCUUUUAUAAGGGAAUAAAGUGAGUCUCGUGAGACUUUUUGCAUGUACCUUAUGAAUAAGGACCGGCUAAUUCCGUGCCAGCAGCCGCGGUAAUACGGAAGGUCCGGGCGUUAUCCGGAUUUAUUGGGUUUAAAGGGAGCGUAGGCCGGAGAUUAAGCGUGUUGUGAAAUGUAGAUGCUCAACAUCUGCACUGCAGCGCGAACUGGUUUCCUUGAGUACGCACAAAGUGGGCGGAAUUCGUGGUGUAGCGGUGAAAUGCUUAGAUAUCACGAAGAACUCCGAUUGCGAAGGCAGCUCACUGGAGCGCAACUGACGCUGAAGCUCGAAAGUGCGGGUAUCGAACAGGAUUAGAUACCCUGGUAGUCCGCACGGUAAACGAUGGAUGCCCGCUGUUGGUCUGAAUAGGUCAGCGGCC
rnacentral:rRNA from 1 species